CCUACGGGGGGCUGCAGUGGGGAAUAUUGGACAAUGGGCGAAAGCCUGAUCCAGCCAUGCCGCAUGUGUGAAGAAGGCCUUCGGGUUGUAAAGCACUUUCAGUGGGGAAGAAAGCCUUGGGGCUAAUACCCUCGAGGAAGGACAUCACCCACAGAAGAAGCACCGGCUAACUCCGUGCCAGCAGCCGCGGUAAUACGGAGGGUGCGAGCGUUAAUCGGAAUUACUGGGCGUAAAGCGCGCGUAGGCGGUCUGAUAAGCCGGUUGUGGAAGCCCCGGGCUCAACCUGGGAACGGCAUCCGGAACUGUCAGGCUAGAGUGCAGGAGAGGAAGGUAGAAUUCCCGGUGUAGCGGUGAAAUGCGUAGAGAUCGGGAGGAAUACCAGUGGCGAAGGCGGCCUUCUGGACUGACACUGACGCUGAGGUGCGAAAGCGUGGGUAGCAAACAGGAUUAGAUACCCCUGUAGUC
rnacentral:rRNA from 1 species